ensembl:snRNA U7 U7 small nuclear RNA
GAGUGUUACAGCUCUUUUAGAAUUUGUCUAGUGCUGGAAAACCCCU